UGAGGAAUUUUGCGCAAUGGGGGCAACCCUGACGCAGCAACGCCGCGUGAGUGAUGAAGGCCUUCGGGUCGUAAAGCUCUGUCAAGUGGGAAGAACCUAUUACAUGUGAACAGUAUGUGAUACUGACGGUACCACUGAAGGAAGCACCGGCUAACUCCGUGCCAGCAGCCGCGGUAAUACGGAGGGUGCAAGCGUUAUUCGGAUUUACUGGGCGUAAAGGGCGCGUAGGCGGUUGGACAAGUCAUGUGUGAAAUCCCGGGGCUUAACUCCGGAAGUGCACCUGAAACUGUUCGGCUUGAGUAUGGUAGAGGGAAGUGGAAUUCCUGGUGUAGCGGUGAAAUGCGUAGAUAUCAGGAGGAACACCGGUGGCGAAGGCGACUUCCUGGACCAAAACUGACGCUGAGGCGCGAAGGUGUGGGGAGCAAACAGG
rnacentral:rRNA from 1 species